CUCAUUAUAACAGCUAUAAUGUACUUGAUGUUGAUUAUCCAACGUGGAUAACUGUGGCAAUUCUAGAGCUAAUACAUGCACCAAAGCUCCGACUUUUGAACGAGCGCAUCUAUUAUAUUAAAACCAAUCGGGUUAUUAGCCCGUUAAUUGGUGACUCUGAAUAGCUAUGGCUGAUCGCAUGGUCUUGUACCGGCGACGUAUCUAUCAAGUGUCUGCCUUAUCAACUUUCGAUGGUAGUUUAUGUGCCUACCAUGGUUGUAACGGGUAACGGAGAAUAAGGGUUCGACUCCGGAGAGGGAGCCUGAUAAACGGCUACCACAUCCAAGGAAGGCAGCAGGCGCGCAAAUUACCCACUCUCAGAAUGAGGAGGUAGUGACGAAAAAUAACGAGACCGUUCUCUUUGAGGCCGGUUAUCGGAAUGGGUACAAUUUAAACCUGUUAACGAGGAUCUAUGAGAGGGCAAGUCUGGUGCCAGCAGCCGCGGUAAUUCCAGCUCUCAAAGUGUAUAUCGUCAUUGCUGCGGUUAAAAAGCUCGGAUUUGGAUCUGCGUCUCAGGACCUGGUCCAUCCAUUGGAUGAGAACUGGGCUCCUAGGCUAAUAUUGCCAGUUUUCCAUACGUUACCUUGAUUGGUUGCGUAUGGUGGCUAGCACUUUUACCUUGAAAAAAUUAAAGUGCUCAAUGCGGGCUAAUGCCUGAAUACUCGUGCAUGGAAUAAUGAAAUAGGAUCUCGGUUCUAUUUUGUUGGUUUUCUGAUCUGAGAUAAUGGUUAAGAGGGACGGACG
rnacentral:rRNA from 1 species